rnacentral:rRNA from 1 species
AUGAGCCAGUCGCGCUGCGCGGCGCCGACCGCCCGCACGGCGGCCUCGUCGAGUUUCUCUCCGAAGCACAUGAGCGCAAGGAGGAAGAACAUGGCGUGCCGGAACGCGUCCAUGACCAAGACCCCGCCGCCGUCGGGGCCGGGCUCCCGCUCCCGGAGCUUGUCCAGGAGCACGCGGCGCGCCCAGGCGCGCGCGGGCGCGAAGAGGCGGGCACGAGACGGGUGCAGCGUCUCGGAGACGAGGUGGCGGCGCAGGAGGCGCCAGGCGGGCCCGUAG